rnacentral:misc_RNA from 1 species
UACAGAGGCCCCAAGCAUUAUCCGGAAUUACUGGGCGUAAAGGGUGCGUAGGCGGCGUUGUUAGUCGUGUGUUAAAACUUUGGGCUUAACCCAAAGCUCGCGCGCGAAACGGCAAUGCUUGAGGAUGGGAGAGGUGUACGGAACUCAUGGUGUAGGGGUGAAAUCCGUUGAUAUCAUGGGGAACACCAAAGGCGAAGGCAGUACACUGGCCCAUUCCUGACGCUGACUGCACGAAAGCCAGGGUAGCGAAAGGG